rfam:Schistosoma curassoni strain Dakar, Senegal genome assembly, scaffold: SCTD_scaffold0000021
ACACUUCUGAGGAGUCCCAUAAUAGGAUGAAACGGUCGUCGAGUGU